CAGCAGCCGCGGGAAUACGGAGGGUGCUAGCGUUGUUCGGAAUCACUGGGCGUAAAGGGCGCGUAGGCGGCCUGUUAAGUCGGAUGUGAAAGCCCGGGGCUCAACCCCGGAACUGCAUCCGAGACUGGCAGGCUUGAGACCGGGAGAGGAGGGUGGAAUAUCCAGUGUAGAGGUGAAAUUCGUAGAUAUUGGAUGGAACACCGGUGGCGAAAGCGGCUCUCUGGCCCGGAUCUGACGCUGAGGCGCGAAAGCGUGGGGAGCAAACAGGAUUAGAUACCCGGGUAGUCCCUGUCUCUUAUAA
rnacentral:rRNA from 1 species